CACGUCUCGUCUCUGUCUUCCCGUCAGUGCAAUGGGCCUGACCAUGCCUGCCUUCCACCCGCAAUCCUGGGUCCGCCGAGGACCUCCGGG